UACGUAGGAGGCAAGCGUUGUCCGGAAUUACUGGGCGUAAAGCGCGCGCAGGCGGACGUUUAAGUAGGGCGUGAAAUCUCCCGGCCUAACUGGGAGGGGUCGCUCUAGACUGGGCGUCUUGAGGACUGCAGAGGUGGGUGGAAUUCCUGGUGUAGUGGUGAAAUGCGUAGAGAUCAGGAGGAACACCGGUGGCGAAGGCGGCCCACUGGGCAGUCACUGACGCUGAGGCGCGAAAGCUCGGGGAGCGAACGGG
rnacentral:rRNA from 1 species